GGAUGCAAAUUGGCAUGCAUUACGUGUAGGAAUUUACAGGAGACAGAGGAUGGUCUGGAUGAAGUGUUGGACAGAGUAGAAAAGAGUCUACCAUGCGGGGGUUGGACACUUGGACUCAUGGUCCGCUUUGCUAAUUGUCCAGUACGGGAUUUAGUGGCCAGGGAUGCAAGCGCCCCUGGUGGUGAGUGGUUGCACUGACCACCCACUCCGCCGCCAGUCAGCACCUAAAAAACUAAGAAACUCUAAGACAGAAAACAGAUAAAUGACUUACAAACUAGGCAUUUCGUCACGAAAAUAUGCAAACACCCAACUCAUGGAUGGGUGUGCAGUGCUUAAGAUAAAACUACAAUAAUAACUAUAAAUAUUAUUUUUAUUUUAUUUUAUUUUUUUAAAUUAUUAUUUUAGAAAUAUAUAUUUUUUUAUGACUAUUACUUAGUAUCUAGGACUUAAUACAAAUUUACAAAUCUCUAAUUACUACUAUACUACUAGUUAAAUAUAGAGGAACUGUCGGUGUAUAAAGUUACAGGUGAAUUAAGUCAAGACCUAUUCGCAUUUUGGUAUUUGUUGCAAGCUUGCAAUUCAAAAUCCCAUGUCUUUCAGAAACACAACCGGCACUGGCGGUGAAGUCUGCCAGGCGGGCCAUGCCCAUCGGACAUAAGGAGUCAGCCCUAACAGCACAGGCAGUGGAACUCCCGGGAGCCAAACCUACACCUGCGUACUUCGGACCAUUUUGAAUUAGCAAAUUAUUUCAUUAAUGUCUAUAAUUUAAGUUUCAACUCGCGGGAGACUGAUUGGCCGAUCGUUCAGCCAGCCACAGCACACUACGGAGGUCUGUGAGCCAAGAUUGAAUUUGGCAUUUUAUAUUUUCCAUGCAACUCUGGAUCUUGUUCGCCCAGUGAUGAAAUAUAUGGGUUUCUGCUUAUGGCACAUCUAUCAUAGAAUUUUUGCGCAGUUCGGAAAUAAUAAUGUUUUAAAAGUUCGAGUUUGAGCUCUCUGUGCAUAGCCCUUACGGGGCAAUACACAGGCGCAUCUGUCGCAAUACGAAUACUCUUAUUCUGAAUUCUCUGCAGCUUGAUUAAGUGAGAUUCCGCUGCUGUUGCCCACACCGGCGCUGCAUACGUGAUUAUUGGAUUUAUUAGUGCGUUAUAAAUUAUUAUUCCGUUUUUAACAGAGCUACCUAAACGUCUGCUCAUGACAGGGUAGAGGGCCAUGAGCCUAGUGAAAGCUGUUUUUCUUUUCGCCUCUAUGUGAUCGCGCCAUAGCAGUUUCCUAUCCAUGCGCACGCCUAAAUAUUUAACAACAUUUUUGUGAGGAAUGUGCUCAUUGAAAAGUGUUAGUCGUGGUGAGAGAUGUUUACGCGUAAAAACUAUAUCUUCUGAUUUAGUAGGGUUUACCUUAAUUCGCCAUUUUGUGCACCACUGUUCUAUUGAAUUUAACGCGGUUUGCAAUCUGUCUUCUGCGAGUUCUAGAAUACUAGAUCUGCUAAACAAUACCGUAUCGUCCGCGUAGCAGCCAAACUGAACUGAUCGGUGUGCGGGCUUAGGCAUAUCAUGGAUAUAAAUAUUGAAUAAAACCGGCCCCAAAAUGCUGCCUUGUGGGACUCCUGCUUGGUAACUAAUCCCUCUUCGUAUAUAUCCGGAAGGAGCCGAGUGCGCCCGAAGACGGACAAGAAACAAACGACGAUCGGCCGCCGGCUACGAGAUAGUGAUGGGCAGAACGGUUCUUUUGGAUGAGUUCCGUGAAAUGAUUCGUUCAUCUCGGUCAAUUCGUUCUUUUCUGUGUAUGGGAUCUGGCUCUUUUAUCAGGUGUCGUAACUCGUUCAUCCUUUAGAGUAUUAGGUACGUGUUUUUGUAUUUGAAUUUGAACAUUACUUUCCGUAACCAGGGAAUCACAGUUGCGUAUAUGAAACAAGAUUAUUAAUAUUUUAUUACUUUUUAAGUUACAAAUAUUAAUAUAUAGGCUAUUUACACUCUAGUGACAGUAAGUGUUUACAUGUAGACCAACACAUUUAGAGAAAAAAAGACAAAAAUGUAAUACUACUACUGCGAUUCAGUAUGAAGAGAAACAUAUGAAGUACAUUAAUUAACCCAAAAAUGGUAUGUGUGAACAUUUGUAGUUACUUUCCCUGUUAUUUUUAAUUCAUACGGUUUUUUUUUUUCUCCAAAUUUGUGUAAGUGAAUGUGAAAAAGCAAUUUUAAACCACUACUUAACAGUUGACAUUUUCAGGUAUAGAUACUUUUCAUAUUCCCCUAUUUAAUUUGAUCAGUUAUCGUUUGCUCACGUGAACAUGCGCACGCUGUGAUUACUAAUUCUUCAGACUCCUGACGUCAUGAAUCAUUUCACGAACGAAUCAGACCGGGCGGGUGGCCGGUUCUCUCGUUCUCUCCGCGUUUUCGUUCUUCCGAAUCUUUCAAGGUACCGGCUCUCAAAGAGCCGGUUCUUUACAUCGUGAACGAAUCGCAAGAUUUCGUUCUCUCAAAGAUUCGUUCUUUUUGAACGAAUCGUUCACGAACGACCCAUCCAUCACUACUACUAGAGCCAGAUACUAUUUUUAAUCUGCACAACAGAUAGCGCUAGUAGAUUGACCUAGUUCUUUUGUAAAUUCAUAGGUAGCGUUAGUGUUCAUAAUCAAAUGUCAAUUGAAUGUUUAUAAGAAACUAAAUUUAUGCAAUAAAUACUAAUAAUGCAAUAAAUAUAGUGUAAUAUUAAUUUAUUUUGAUUUCAAAAACAGUUGAUUUGUAAAAAUUGUUUUUUUUUUGCAGUAAUAUUCGUUUACAGAUUGAUUUGAGCAUUAUAGUCGCUCUUUUUUUUUUCGGUUUGUAGUAGAUUUUGGUCGAGUGAAAGAUGGAUUUUGAUUUAUCAUUUUGAAUUAUUUUCCUAUAUGAUUGUGAAUUAAGAAGCCGAUGAAGAUGCCUGUGAAUACACAUCAAUGUUUUGUGUCUUCGUGCAGGAACAGUAUUACUGUUAAUCCUGAUGUGACAACAUUCAGAUUUCCAUGAAGCCGAAGCAAGUUAUUGAAGUGGAUUGCUGCAAUUGGCUAUGACCUUGAUGCCAGUAAUGCUGAAACAUUUAAAACUAAAUAUGUAUGUUCCGAACAUUUUGAUAUUGGAGCUUUCACUACAUGUGACUGCAUCAAAUUGAAUCGUGGUGCUGCUACAACAUAUUUUAAUUCUGUGGACAGUGAAGUAUGGAUCUAUUGUUAUAAUUUAUUAUGUCUAGAAUGCUGCCAAAUAUAGGUGAAAUGUUUAUGUUACAUAACAUAACUUGUAAGAUCUACUUGUGCAGAUAUAUAUUUUCACCUGCCUCUAAGGUCCUUUGUUAUUCACAGGUAGCAUUUACAUGUGAUGAAGCAGUAUUUAACAUUAUUGGUCAACAUGCAGUCCAUCAUUACAACCUUUGUACAGGCGCAUACAAACAUAUAUGUGUGGGGUAUUUCACACUUUUUAUUUGAUGUUAAAGAUUGGUAUGGUGACCGGGAUACUUUUUUUUAUUAAACCUCCUACACAGUUCUCUACUGUUUCCCUUAUCUGUUGCCUUAACAUUUUUUUCCGAUCAGUCCAAUUCCUUGAAUCACAUUGCAAAAAAAGUCACAAUACAUGGGAUUGGGCCACUCUCUUCAAAGAAUUGUAAUUCGAGUUUAAACAUAGCAAGGCUGACCAUAAAUUGUAGAGGAAAAUUUAAAAUGUUGAUCUUCAACAUAUUUAUAACCUAUGCUCAUGUGAUGUAUAUACAGCUAGUUAGAAAGUAAGUUGUAGUAUAGUAUGCAAUUGAACCUUCAAUAAGUUCUACAUCCACACUUAAAAACUUAUUUUACUUGAUGUUUUAUGUUCAAUAACUAUUCAGUAUAAAGGUUUUUUUUUACAUUAUAAACUACAAAAGUAUUCCGAUUUGUAAAUGUAAUGAAAUUCCACUGAGCCCUCUACCUUUUUUUUAACUACCAUUUCUGCCGUGUGGCCUUUUUUUUCUUACUUUUGUGUUCAUUAUAAGUUACAACCACUCAUUUGAUUUAUUGUGUUAAAUUAAAUGAUAUUUAAAAUUGGAUGUCACUUCAUAAGAACAUUCAGGAUUACCUGUAUUCACAGCGCACAAUUAUACAAAAGUUUUUUAUGUAUGUAAAAGUGUUUUACGUAAGCCAGUGGACACAUACAUGUAUUGAGUAACAUGAGAAAAUUGAAAUAUCUAAAAUAAAAUUAAAAGGUUACAAGCUUUUAUAUACAUGCAGCUCCCAAAAAAGUCUGCAUACUAAAAAAUAACACAUGCUUUUAAAUGAAUUCUUACCAUCUUAUAAACUAGUAGUAUUUUGUUAUUUGAUUUCAAAUGAAUUGUUUUUGGUUAAUUUAUUUGACUGAAGGGAUUAAACAUCAUUUGUAGAAUAAAGUGUGAAAAGUAGUAUUGAUCAAUUUAACUGUAAGUACUAAAUAUGUGUUACAUUUCUUGUAAGUUAAAAUUGUUCAGGUAUUAUAAAUUAGCUGAAAAAAGCAAACUCAUGACUAGAAUAAAUUGUACUGUUAGGUAUGUUUCGAAGAAAGACUACCUGUUGCAGUCGUUACCAUGUGUAUGUACCACAUUUUUAUUGUCAUUAUAACUGCCAUAAUUUUGUACAAAUAAAUCACUUAAUACAUAAAAUAUGGUUAUGGAAAUUCUCAGUUGAGUUUGUUAAUGGAUAUAGGCCAACAAAAGGGGUAUAAAUGGGGAAGAUUUUUUGAAAAACAUUUAAAUCACUUCAACUCCCAUAACAUGAAACAUAUCACAUCUGUUUGAACAUAUUAUAACUUAAAGGAGUAUUACCAAAAAUUUUGUCUACAUACUUGAAUAUGACCAGCCAUAACUGUUAAGGGGUGGGAAAAAACAAGGGUUUGAGGACAAAAAACUCCUAACUAUCUUAGUAGGCACACCAUAGAAUCUGUUCAAAUUUGUUGUCAAUUUUAAAAAAUUUUAUAACCACCUGAUAACCACCAAGGGUGCUGUGGGUAAAAUAAUGAGGGGUUAAUGGACAAACAAAUAUUCUUAAUUACUCUAUUAAGUUAACUAUAAAAUCUAUAACAAUUAUUGCAAUUCUUCUAAAACUUGUAUAAAACUUUGAUCUGAAACAAUUUUUUUAGGAUUAACCAGUGCUGCAAGAAGUUGAAAAUACCAGUGGGUGGAAAUUUAAAAAAAUAAUAAUAAAACUUCUGUACAGUGUACACUAUCGCAUCCAUUCUUAUUUAUUUAAAACUUUCUAAAUAUCUUUUGAAACUUUAAUGUAACCAAACAUUACUGCAAUGAGUGAAAAUAAUAUAUUCAGAGACAAAAAAUGAUAACUUUAAUUAUUGCACUUGCUCUCUGUAUGCUGACUGCAUUGCUAAAAUGCACAUAGACCUCCAAUUAAAUUAAUAAAAUAAAGUAUUCUGCAAAAUGUUGAUAGCGAAACAAUUAAAAUUGUGCCAAUCUCACCUGUGUACAUGAAAAUCUAUAUUAUGCUUCAAAUAGGCUAUUUUAUAAACCAGAAAAUGAAAUUACCUAUUUAGGACUUUCCAUUACCCUUAGCAUUCCUUUACUGCAUCUUAUUUUUUUGUUCAGUUAUAAUUAAAUUUUGGUAUCUUCUUGUUAUACGUGGGUAAUUGUUCCUUAUCACGUACUCAAGUUCAAGCCUUGAUCCUGUAUGAUUGAUCCUGUGGUACAUGAUGCUUGCUGUCUUAAUUUAGUACAUCAAAGAUCCUGGACAUAACAAAAAUAUUACAAUAAAAAUAAUUUUUGGAAGUAAAAAAAAAAUUACUUUCAGAUUUUUAUUUGAUGUGAUAAUACCAUCAGAAUUCAUUGUUACAUCACCCCAUUAUUGUAUCCAGGAUCUUUCUAUAUACUAAAUUAAAACAGCAAGCAUCAUGUACCACAGGAUCAAUAUAUUCAGGAUCAUGCCAUUAGGAUCAAGGGAUAGGCUUGGAUACGCUGUGCGGAACAUUUACCCACAUUGUGUUUAAAUAUAAAUUGUUUCAUCUUGUGGGUGAAGAGAAAGAAGGUAUCCUCAGUCCAAUUCUUUCAUCUACUCCAUAGUACAUAUGUUUCUAAGAGCUAUACAGUUGGUUUUAGAUUUAUUUAGCAGUAGUUAGCUUCAAACCAGAAAUUAUAUUAGGUCUUUACAGCAUUAUUUAUACUAUUUUCCUUCACAAAAAUUUAUGAACCAUCAGAAAAGUGUGGUGUGCUACCUUGUGUAAUGUGAGAAAGCUGGUAUACUUGAAACACGAGUGGGCCAAGGAAACUCAUUCUGAGAACUAUAUAUGAUUUUAUUUGUACACUUUAAAGUUGUGUAAGUGAGAUACAAUUACUAGGUCUUUUACUUUACUUUUGAUCUUGAAAUAACAACUUUUGAAGAAAAUAUUUAUGAUUUAUGAGGUCUAAAGGUUUAGACUUAACACAAAAAUAAUUCAUGCUGAAUUUUAACUCAAAAUUUCAAGGCUUGACUAGUAAACUUUAAUAUUGUAUUUACUGUUGACUUUUUGUAAGUCACAAUGUCAUUUUUUUAAUGUAAAUUUUGAAUGCAACAAUAUACAAUAUUAUUCUUAAAAGUGAAUUAGAUAAUAGGGUCAUUCAAAUAUAAACCGGAAUAUUUUUAUACAGAUUUAUUGGUGAUAUACGAAAACUACAAGUGGAAUGCCUUUUUUUUCUACAUAGUUUCCUUAAGCAUAUAUACUUCCCCCCCCCCCCUCCCAUUUCUGAUCCCUUCAUGAAAAGAAGACUGGUGCUCCAGCAGCCAACUGCACAUGUACUGUUUGACUGCAGCAUUGUCUUCAAAUCAUUACCCUCCUAAUGCCUCUUUCAGUGGACCAAACAUACAGCCUGAAUAUUGCCUUCAUUGAUGCUGGUUGCCGGAUGCAAUAUGUGGCAUCGAUUUCCCACUUUCAAAACUUAUGGCCCAAUGGAACACUUGUGCAUGCCUAGGUAUCUCCUCCCCAUUCUCCCGCCACCGAUUCCCCAGCGGACUGCACCACUCAAGUCGCUACUUGAGUCGAAAGAACAAAAUUCUGUGGACAGUGAAGGAUGGAUGUAUUGAACUUUAAAAAUAGCCUUUUUAGUGUUGUUUCAACCUUGCCAUAUUAUGGUUUACAUAGUUGUGUGAGAUGCACUAUGUACACAAAACUUAGUUUUUUAGUUUAUUUAAAUUGUGAAAUCAUCAAAUGUUAUAUUCAUGUUCCUUUUUUUUUUCUUGGGUUAUGUUUGUAACUUUGACUCUUUUUGUUUAUUCAUCCCGCUAGGUUAAAUGGGUUUUUAAUGAUUUUCCAUUUGAAAAAGAAAAAUGUAGUGCCCAAACGUGACUUGAAAGAAUUGAGUUACCACCUGAUCGUGUCUGUGAUAACUAAGGAGAAUUUUAAUUAGCAGAUCUCAUUUAGUCCAAAAUUUAAAUUUAAAAAAAAAAAUGAACAGUUUUUUUAACACAGGAUCACUUUCAGCACAUUGAAAUUGUAUCGAGCAUCCUGCAAAUAAGAUUAUGAAACAAAUUCAAAAGGCUAUUAUUAUUAUUAAUAUUAUUAUUAUACGACGGAAAAUAGCCAGUUCGAUAGCUCGAAACACGUUGCUAAUCGAUUUGUAUUAUACAUAUCGAUUUAUAUCGUUAACGCACUUUCGAUCACGGUAUUUCAUUUGUAGAUUCAUAGAUGGCAGCGUAAUCGGCGAUUGUUUGUAGGUACAGAAAAACAGCGUUGAGUUUCCGGUCUUUAUGAUAUAUGGUCGUUGCUUCUGGACGCCUGCGUCGUGAAGUAAAAUUCGUGUGUAUGCUCAUCCUGAAAGUAUUUGUUGACGGCUGCAGAAAUGUGUGGCUGUGCCGAGGGGAAUCACUCUGGCGCGAUGUGGAGCAUACGUCCCACCUGAGUCGUGAUGGCGGCUAGGUGCAGCACUGGGCUUCACCUGUGUACUGAAUCUUCCCAGGAGAUGUCUUGAGCACCACUGUUGCACCUCACGGCCUCCUUCUGCACCGUCAUACCACGCAGACGUGUGUGACCAGUACCGCUGGUCCCAAAGCCUCAUCUUCACCACGUGACCUCCAGAGGUGAAGCGGAAACUGUUGUACAGUUUGUCGUGAGCAGAGCCCGUGAAGGAGGGUGGACAGGGGCCUCAACAGAAAAAAAAAAAGGGAGAUAAACUUUUAUUCUUUAGAUGUAUUUUUUAUUGUAAGGUUUAUAAAAUUGUACAUUAAUUAAUGUGGUGAAGGGGUGGUAGGGGGUGUGGAGCUGACAAAAUUAUUUGCAGCAGACUGGUUUGGUUAGAAAUCAUGUGCAUCACACCCAUAGUGCUAUUUUGAUUUCAAUAUUAUUGCACAACUUUUUUAUUCUUUAUGAUAUCACUUACAUGCAAGAUUUUUCUAUGCUUAUUCCCAUAAUGAAAUAUUGCACUAAUAAAAAAUUUAGACACAAGUGAACAGUUAUUUAAAUUACUAAACUCAUAUACCUAUUACAAAUACUUUCUUCAAAUAUAAAAUAAAGUAAAAAUUUACAAAUAGUAAAUUAAAUUUUCUAAGAAAUAAACCCGCAAAUAUUUAUAAAGCAACAUGUUUGUACGGUUUAUGGAAAUUUUUAGUCAGUUUUGUUACAGUGAUGAAUAGCUAUACAUGAUUGUAGCUGAAAAGUUUACAAUUCUUAAGCAAAGAACAGGCAACAUCUAUACGAAGUACUUUUGAAACUCAUGUUCACAGCUACAUUUCAAAAUGUUCAUAAGUCAUGAACAUUAAAGUGGCAAUUCCUUUAAGUCUACCAAUUAAAUUGUUUUAUAUUCCAACCAGCAACUUGUCAUUGGCAGUGUAAGCAAAUAGGCUUAGUAUCUAAAGCCAUGUUGGUCAAUUAGUUUUCUUAACAUUACUACAGAAAUGUUUUUUAUAUUUAUCUUGAUAGCUCAUUUCCAUUUUAACAUUGUUGCAAAAAUUGUCAUCUAGUAGCAAUAAAGAGUUAAGACAAAUGUUCAUAAUAUGUUUAUUUUGGUAACCUUUGUCAUUUUUCAUCUCCCAAAAAAAUCUUAAUCCAUCAUGGUUUUUCUAUUCAAAAAAAUACUACAUUCAAUAUCAAAUUUUGUUAAAAUAUGCUGCAUAUAAGUCUAUGGAAUGCAGUUUCACUUUGCAUUUAUCACAAUUGUUAUUUUAAACAAUUUACUAUCUGGUUUAAUGACUGCAAGUGAGUUAGGGAUCAACUUACAAGCCAAAAUAACUUAAUACUUAAGAGACAAUAUUUUUUCAGUGUCCAAUUUUGCAAAAUGUAUGUAAUUACAUCUACUUUUAUUUAGAAAAGACAUGUGAGUAAAUGAACCUGUGUACUUUGUAAAGAAACAGUCUUUUUGAAGACCUUUUAGUAUGUUUUAUUUGAUUGAACACUGAAGUAACUAAAAUAUUUUUUAUUUUAUUUUUUUAUAUCACGAUUAAAGUAUUAGGUAAAUUAUACAUAUACCAUACAUAUGUGAUAUUUGAUGAGAUUCAUCUCAGAUUCCAUACAAAACAGUUUACUAUUAGUGUAAACACUAUUUUCUUUUUUCAGCACGACACACAAUGAUUAUUAGCAAGAUUCUUCAUGAACAUACUCAAACCUACUUUGAUUAAGAUCAUAUUCUGUUAUAAUGCUUUUUAAGCAUUUCAGGUGAUUUCUUAGAUUCGUUAAGGUGCGGACACAGGGAUUGUUUUAGAAAGAGACACAUUGCUUGAGAAAAGAAAAAAGACUCUUGACUUAUUGCUAUGUGCCCGUGACUGGCUUAACAGAUACUUCUUCCAUACUUUGGUUAACAAGUCGGUAGUGAUGGAAGCAAAUAGCCUCUUCGAUUCUGGCAAAUCACUUGGUAAUGGCGAAACACAAGACACAAUCUUCUACAAAGCCCUUAACAAAAAAAAAACAGCAUGGCGUUACGUCAGAUGAACGUGGACAACAGCAAAAAAAGGAGUUCUGUCGUCUCAACCAUUAGGUACAACGGUCAGGGACUUCGACGUUCAACCACUCACGUACAAACAAAGCACAUUUUGAACUAAAAUUACAGAUUCAGUCUUAGCAAAUUGCAGAACACAAAAUGCUUAGGAGUCGUUGCAAAUGAGAAAACAUCACAAACUCACAGUUGAUACUAUUAAAAUUUAUAACUGGGACAUUCGUUUAUGAACAUACUGUAUUUUCAUGUGUCACACAUUAAGGUGAAAGACAAGGAAAUCUCAAAGAUAGUGGAUAAUUUUUUUUUUUUUUUUGUUAACUGAGAAAGUUAUUGGGCUUAAGUUGAAACGAAAGUUAGAGAGUUCUUGGCUGUCUUCAUGUCUUGAUGAUACAAAAUCAUAGGGUGUAGCCAGCAUUUAUGUGAAAGGGGUGAAAAGGGAAAGGCAUAGAAGCUAUAAAAAUAAAAUAAUUGAUGUGGGGUGAUUUUAAAACAGAAUUGUAAUUUAUACCACUAUUACUCUAUGGUUGUAUACAAUAUGUUGCACAUUUUAAUUUAUAAUAUUUUUGUUAUCUUUCACAUAAUGUAAUGACUCAAAAAGUGUAAUGUAAUU